GCACCACAUCUUUCCCAUUCCAUACUGUGCAGUGUGGGCCUGGGGACACGUGGUGCUUACAGAAAGGCAGAGUAAAUCCAGACAGGUGAUUUCUUGUUCGUUAGGUACCAGUCUCUACACCUCUGCAACAGUU
rfam:Colius striatus contig17066, whole genome shotgun sequence.